UGGGGAGCAACCAGGAUUAGAUACNUGGUAGUNCACGCCNUAAACGAUGUGUNNUAGUUGUUGGGAGUUCAGCUNUCAGUGANGCAGCUAACGCGUUAAGCACACCGCCUGGGGAGUACGGCCGCAAGGUUAAAACUCAAAGAAAUUGACGGGGACCCGCACAAGCGGUGGAGCAUGUGGUUUAAUUNGAAGCAACGCGAAGAACCUUACCAACCCUUGACAUCCUAAUCGCGGAUUGUAGAGAUACUUUCCUUCAGUUCGGCUGGAUUAGUGACAGGUGCUNCNCGGCUGUCGUCAGCUCGUGUCGUGAGAUGUUCGGUUAAGUCCGGCAACGAGCGCAACCCCUAUUUUCAGUUACCAGCAUUAAGUUGGGUACUCUGGCAAAACUGCCCGUGACAAGCGGGAGGAAGGUGGGGANGACGUCAAGUCAUCAUGGCCCUUACGGGUUGGGCUACACACGUGCUACAAUGGCGGUGACAAUGGGCAGCGACCUCGCGAGAGUGAGCUAAUCCCCAAAAACCGUCUCAGUUCGGAUUGCACUCUGCAACUCGAGUGCAUGAAGCUGGAAUCGAUAGUAAUCGUGGAUCAGCAUGCCGCGGUGAAUACGUUCCCGGGUCUUGUACACACCGCCCGUCAAGCAAUGGGAGUUGGUUUUACCCGAAGAUGGUGCGCUAACCUUUUAGGAGGCAGCCAGCCACGGUAGGAUCAGCGACUGGUGCUAAGUCGUAACCAAGGUAACC
rnacentral:rRNA from 1 species